ACAAACCGUACUUAAAAGCAGCUCAAAACAAAAAGAACUUUAUAGACUCAGAUUGUGUCAGAUGCGAAGAGACAGUACUAAAAUAGCAUACAUUGGAAAUGUGGACCCGUAUGAAAAAACGGCAGUGGAGCAGAAACCCCGAAGCCUGAUAUAUUUCCGUACCUGUGGAGUCAGCGCAUACACAGCGAACCAGUUUCGCAAUUAUAAUGUCUGGAGGCGCACAUCCGAUUAACCAAUGGGGUUGGAACCAGGGCCGGCUAUUAAAAUGGUCACCACCAGACCAAGGCUCAAUCGAGUCAUGGAAGGAGGAAUCAGAGGAUGUUUAUGUGAAGACCAUCUGGGUUGUGUCAGAACUCACGGAUGUAGGAGACCUCUGUAUAAGAUUUAUAGGCCUUGAGAGUGCAUCUUACUGCAAUUGUAGAACAAAGGAUUCUAACUGUCUAGUGUUUAACGGACCUGUCAAAGGUAUGUUGAGAUACGAUAGUAGAAGGCCUCUUUCAGAGCUGGGGGACCUUCCUUAUAUGGUUUUAACUUGAAACUUGUUGACACACGAACUUUCUGCCUAUAAAUACUGCUGCAC
ensembl:lncRNA